UGAGGCUCUGAUAGGUUGAGUAACUUCCCCAACCUCAUACUAGUGAGUGGCAGAACAGGGACUGAAGUCGGGUGCUCAGAUUGUAAAUUCUUCUCUCUUCUACCCUACCAAGACUGCUCUAGGAGAAGAGACGCCAGAAACAGACUCAUCGGGGCCUAUGGAAACAAAGAACCUAUACCCCGAAGUGAAGGGAAUUAAAAAUCCUCUUGAUAAGCAGACUUCAGAGCUGAGGGCUGUUUGGUUUCAGAAUCCCUUGUCACCUAUCCAUCCUCUCCAUUUUGGGGUUUAAUGUUCAACGAGGUUAUCACAUGGAAAUCCAGCAGGCAAAUCUUAGGAGAUUUUCAGGCCAAAUUGUAAAACCCAUUAGGUUUACAUCGUCUAGAUAAAUUUUUAUUGUCUAUUUAUAUUUCAAUUUCCUAAAUGCUGAUAGCAAAACUGCCCUUAUAUAAUAAACACGAGAAGAAAUUCCCAACACUCAAAUAUUAUUUUCAUCUACCUUCAACAUCUUGAAGCUUCUAGUCAGUUAGAAAAUAUGUCAUCUUUCUGACCACCAUCCUUCUGCACCUGCUCCUGAAGCUGGACGUAAGUCUAAGGUUGCUCUGAAGUUAAUGAUUAAAAUCUUCGAGUGGACAUUAUUCAUCAUUUCUUGGGAGCAUUCUAGGGUCAUCCAUUAGUCUGCAGUUCUGAAACAGAAUAAGGUAGAUUCUUAAAUGGCACAGUAUGGAUUCUGAUCUCGAGAGAAUUCCACCUAUUGUUAAUGGUUUUUAUAUAAAGAACCACCUGUAGAUCUCCACUUUUGAACAUUUCCCCUCUUAACUGGUAGUCAUGAUUGUCAAGGUCACUUCCUCCUUUAUCAGGUUGUUAUUCAACUAGAGUCUUUUUUUUCAAGGGAACACUCUUCUGAAGAAGGGUUCAGAAAUACAUAGAUUUCUACCAAAAGAAAUUUCUAUAUUUUUAUCCAAUGCCUGUUUUGAAUACAUUUUCCUAAACAUAAUCCUUUUUAUCAUCCAGACUCCUAUGAUUCAUUCAAAAGAAAUCCAGAGCCAAAUCAAGGUUUUUAAACAAUUAUUUCUAAGGAGUGUGUUGUACAAGUUGACAUAUUUUAACUUUCUCCAGAGGUUAUUUCAGGUCAGUGAAUAAGGAUAUGUUCACGAACAACAGAGAGUACAUUUGUUGAUUCUUAAAAGAAAACUCAGAUUUGGUGAGACUUUAAGUUUUUCUCUGGUGAUUCAUAAUCAGUUUUGCAAUUUGAAAGCAGUUGAUGAAUCAUUCAGUUUAUGAAUCUGCUGUCACUUCCUUAGAGAGAAGGUUUCCCUUUUCCUUAUGGUUUUCUAAAGUUUGAUUCAGUUAUCUGAAAGCUGUCAAGGUCGAUUCAUGUUUCCUACUUCUCAAAGAAAGAGGAUGUUAUAUACCAAUCUCGCCUUUAUUGCCAGGAGCCAUAGGAAAAAAAUUGUUGGUUAAGUAAAUUAAACAGUUUAAGUGUCUGAGAAGCUUUCAGCCAAGGGACAGCACCAACUUUCACCAAUCCCCUGCCACCUGGGACUUGGCUAAAAUUAAGGAAUUAAACAACAAAGGACAGAAAAAUCUCUGAAAAGUCUCCAAAUAAUUAGGAAAAUAAACAACAUCUUUCUAAAUAACCCAUGACUCUAAGAAGAAAUCACUGUGGAAAUUAGAAAAUAUUUUGAACUGAAGAAAUUGGCAAAAUGAUCCUAAAAUUUAUAUGGAAAUGCAAAGAGCCUACAAAAAGCAAAAGUGAUUUUGAAAAUGAAGAACAAAAUUAGAAGACUCACAUUAUCUGGUUUCAGGAUUUAAUAUUUAGCUACAGUAAUCAAGACAGUGUGUGGGGUUAUUCCUAGAAAGUGUAUUGUAAGCCCUAAGGGGUGACUGUGGAAGCAGCUGAAACAUCAGCAGCGUUCCUGUUCUCAGGCUGUUGAAUGCAAUGGCCCGGAAGGAACAGGAUCCCAUCAUCUCCUGGGGCAGGGCAUAGAUAAGGAGCUAUGAAAUAAAAUAACCCUCAAUUCCCCUUCCUGCCUCGGGUGAUUGCUAACUCGAACAUCC